rnacentral:rRNA from 1 species
AAUCAUAAGCGGAGGAAAAGAAACUAACAAGGGAUUUCCCCUAGUAACUGCGAGUGAAGCGGGAAAAGCUCAAAUUUAAAAUCUGGCGGUCUUCGGCCGUCCGAGUUGUAAUCGGGAAAAGGGUCUUGCCGCGCCGGACGUGUACAAGUCUCUUGGAACAGAGCGUCAUAGAGGGUGAGAAUCCCGUCUUUGACACGGACUACCAGUGCUUUGUGAUGCGCUCUCGAUGAGUCGAGUUGUUUGGGAAUGCAGCUCAAAAUGGGUGGUAAAUUCCAUCUAAAGCUAAAUAUUGGCGAGAGACCGAUAGCGAACAAGUACCGUGAGGGAAAGAUGAAAAGCACUUUGGAAAGAGAGUUAAACAGUACGUGAAAUUGCUGAAAGGGAAACGCUUGAAGUCAGUCGCGUUUGCUAGAACUCAGCCUUGCUUCUGUGAGGUGCAUUUUCUAGUGAACGGGCCAGCAUCAGUUUUGGCUGCCGGAUAAAGGCCUUGGGAAUGUGGCACCUUCGGGUGUGUUAUAGCCCUUGGUUGUAUACGGUGGCUGGGACUGAGGAUCUCAGCACGCCUUCAUGGCGGGGGUUCGCCCACCUUCGUGCUUAGGAUGCUGGCGUAAUGGCUUUAAACGACCCGUCUUGAAACACGGACCAAGGAGUCUAACAUGCCUGCGAGUGUUUGGGUGGAAAACCCGAGCGCGUAAUGAAAGUGAAAGUUGGGACUUCUGUCGUGGAAGGCACCGACGCCCGGACCAGACCUUCUGUGACGGAUCCGCGGUAGAGCAU